ACGAGUUUGUAUCCUUGGCGUCAGGAUGAACGCUGGCGGCGGUGCGUUAACUAACAUGCAAGUCGAACGAAGCACUUAAGUACGGGAUUACUUCGGUUUGUAAGUCUUAUUUGACUGAGUGGCGGACGGGUGAGUAACGCGUGGGUAACCUGCCUCAUACAGGGGAUAACAGUUAGAAAUGACUGCUAAUACCGCAUAAGCGCACGGUCUCGCAUGGGACAGUGUGAAAAACUCCGGUGGUAUGAGAUGGACCCGCGUCUGGAUUAGCUGGUUGGGUGAGGUAAGGGGCUCACCAAGGCGACGAUCAGUAGCCGGCCUGAGAGGGUGAACGGCCACAUUGGGACUGAGACACGGCCCAAACUCCUACGGGAGGCAGCAGUGGGGAAUAUUGCACAAUGGGGGGAAACCCUGAUGCAGCGACGCCGCGUGAAGGAAGAAGUAUUUCGGUAUGUAAACUUCUAUCAGCAGGGAAGAAAAUGACGGUACCUGACUAAGAAGCCCCGGCUAACUACAUG
rnacentral:rRNA from 1 species